rnacentral:rRNA from 1 species
AAUCAACGCUGGCGGCGUGCCUCAGACAUGCAAGUCGAACGCGAAAGUCUCCUUCGGGGGACAAGUAGAGUGGCGCACGGGUGAGUAACACGUAGGUAAUCUACCUUCGGAUGGGGAAUAACAACCGGAAACGGUUGCUAAUACCGCAUAAUGCAGCGGCACCUAAUGGUGACAGUUGUUAAAGCGGGGGAUCAAAGACCUUCGCGUCUGAAGAGGAGCCUGCGGCGGAUUAGCUAGGGUUAAGGUAAU